CAGUAGCCGCGGUAAAACGUAGGUGGCAAGCGUUGUCCGGAAUUAUUGGGCGUAAAGGGUUCGCAGGCGGUUUCUUAAGUCUGAUGUGAGAGCCCCCGGCUCAACCGGGGAGGGUCAUCGGAAACUGGGAAACUUGAGUGCAGAAGAGGAGAGUGGAAUUCCACGUGUAGCGGUGAAAUGCGUAGAGAUGUGGAGGAACACCAGUGGCGAAGGCGACUCUCUGGUCUGUAACUGACGCUGAGGAGCGAAAGCGUGGGGAGCGAACAGGAUUAGAGACCCCCGUAGUCCCUGUCUCUUAUAC
rnacentral:rRNA from 1 species